GUUUGAUCCUGGCUCAGAAUGAACGUUGGCGGCAUGGAUUAGGCAUGCAAGUCGCACGGGGGUACUUUAUUGUACUUCAGUGGCGAAAGGGUGAGUAACGCAUAGAUAAUCUACCUUUACACUGGGGAUAACAUUCCUAACGGAAUGCUAAUACCGAAUGUGGCAUAUCAGGAGCAUUUUUGAUAUGCUAAAGGCGGGGCAACCUGUCGUGUAAGGAGGAGUUUAUGUCCUAUUAGCUAGUAGGUGGGGUAAGAGCCUACCUAGGCGGUGGUGGGUAGCCGGGCUGAGAGGCUGAUCGGCCACACUGGGACUGAGACACUGCCCAGACUCCUACGGGAGGCUGCAGUCGAGAAUCUUCGGCAAUGGACGCAAGUCUGACCGAGCGAUGCCGCGUGAGUGAUGAAGGUCUUCGGAUUGUAAAACUCUGUCAGAAGCUAGGAAAUGUAUGGAGAGUAACUGCUCUGUGCUUGACAUAAACUUCAGAGGAAGCCACGGCUAAAUUCGUGCCAGCAGCCGCGGUAAUACGAAUGUGGCGAACGUUAUUCGGAAUCACUGGGCGUAAAGGGCGCGUAGGCGGUUUUACAAGUCGGAUGUGAAAUCCCUCAGCUUAACUGGGGAACUGCGUUCGAAACUGUAGAACUAGAGUGUGAUAGGGGGAAGUGGAACUCCAGGUGGAGCGGUGAAAUUCGUAGAUAUCUGGAGGAACGCCGGUGGCGAAAGCGGCUUCCUGGAUCAUAACUGACGCUGAGGCGCGAAAGCUAGGGGAGCGAACGGGAUUAGAUACCCCGGUAGUCCUAGCUGUAAACGAUGGGUACUAGAUAGUAGAGGAGUUAGUGCUUUUGCUGUCGUAGCUAACGCGUUAAGUACCCCGCCUGGGGAGUACGGCCGCAAGGUUGAAACUCAAAGGAAUUGACGGGGGCUCACACAAGCGGUGGAGCAUGUGGUUUAAUUCGAAUCAACGCGAAGAACCUUACCAGGGUUUGACAUAUAAGUGGUACUGAUCUGAAAGGUGAGGGACUUGGGAAACCAAGAGCUUAUACAGGUGUUGCAUGGCUGUCGUCAGCUCGUGCCGUGAGGUGUCGAGUUAAGUCUCUUAACGAGCGAAACCCUUGCCACUAGUUACCAUCGGGUGAUGCUGGGGACUCUAGUGGGACUGCCGCGUAAAAGUUGGAGGAAGGUGGGGACGACGUCAAGUCAUCAUGGCCCUUAUGCCCUGGGCUACACACGUGCUACAAUGGAUAGUACAAAGGGAAGCGAGACCGUGAGGUGGAGCAAAUCCCAGAAAGCUAUCCUUAGUUCGGAUUGAAGGCUGCAAUUCGCCUUCAUGAAGCUGGAAUCGCUAGUAAUCGCGGGUCAGCAAUACCGCGGUGAAUAUGUUCCUGAGCCUUGUACACACCGCCCGUCAAGCCACGGAAGCUUGGAGUACCUGAAGCCGCUGACCCAACUUUUUUAAAGAGGGAGGCGUCGACGGUAAGCUGAGUGACUGGGACUAAGUCGUAACAAGGUA
rnacentral:rRNA from 1 species